rnacentral:rRNA from 1 species
GACGAACGCUGGCGGCGUGCUUAACACAUGCAAGUCGAACGAAGUGGCGAACGGGUGAGUAACGCGUAAUCAACCUGCCCUUCAGAGGGGGACAACAGUUGAAAACGACUGCUAAUACCGCAUCCUGAAGGUGGGGAUUGCGUCUGAUUAGCUAGUUGGCGGGGUAACGGCCCAACAAGGCGAUGAUCAGUAGCCGGGCUGGGAGGAUGAACGGCAACAUGGGGACUGAGACACGGCCCAGAAUCAUACGGGAUGCAGCAGUGGGGAAUCUUCCGCAAUGGACGAAAGUCUGACGGAGCAACGCCGCGGGAGUGAUGACGGCCUUCGGGUUGUAAAGCUCUGUUAAUCGGGACGCGGUACCGGAAUAGAAAGCAACGGCUAACUACGUGCCAGCAGCCGCGGUAAUUC